AUUGAACGCUGGCGGCAGGCCUAAGACAUGCAAGUCGAGCGAGAAAGUACUUCGGUACGAGUACAGCGGCGGACGGGUGAGUAACGCGUAGGAAUCUACCCAGUAGUGGGGGACAACUCGGGGAAACUCGAGCUAAUACCGCAUACGCCCUACGGGGGAAAGCGGGGGAUCUUCGGACCUCGUGCUAUUGGAUGAGCCUGCGUAAGAUUAGCUUGUUGGUGAGGUAAUGGCUCACCAAGGCUACGAUCUUUAGCUGGUCUGAGAGGAUGAUCAGCCACACCGGGACUGAGACACGGCCCGGACUCCUACGGGAGGCAGCAGUCGGGAAUAUUGCGCAAUGGGCGAAAGCCUGACGCAGCCAUGCCGCGUGUGUGAAGAAGGCCCUAGGGUUGUAAAGCACUUUCAAUUGUGAGGAAAGGUUGACGAUUAAUACUCGUCAGCUGUGACGUUAACUUUAGAAGAAGCACCGGCUAACUCCG
rnacentral:rRNA from 1 species